UUUCGAAAGAAGGCGAGACAAGACAAUGAUACUGGCAGUUGUGUUUGCCAACGUUGAGGGCAAUAUCCUCAUCGAACGUUUUAAUGGAGUUCCUGCAGAGGAGCGCCAACACUGGCGUUCUUUCUUGGUUAAACUAGGAGCUGAUAAUCUUAAGGGUGUAAAAAAUGAAGAACUUCUGGUUGCUUGCCACAAGUCAGUUUAUAUUGUAUACACAGUACUUGGAGAUGUUAGCAUAUAUAUCGUGGGGAAGGAAGAGUACGACGAACUGGCUUUGACAGAAGUAAUCUAUGUGAUAACCUCAGCUGUGAAGGGUGUAUGUGGGAAGCCCCCAAGUGAACGCCUUUUCCUUGAUAAGUAUGGAAGAAUUUGUUUGUGUUUGGAUGAAAUUGUAUGGAAGGGACAUUUGGAAAAUACAGAAAAAGAUAGAAUCAAAAGAUUGGUUAGGUUGAAGCCUCCAACUGAGUUCUGAAUGACAGGUUCAAAUUCAGUUAUUAUACAGUCAUCAGUCUUUUUCCAUUUCUUCACCAUCUUAUAACUGACAAUGACAAGGCACUGAAGAGGAUAUCUAAUGUUUGCAACAAUUCUCGGUUUUGCAAAACUCUAGAUAUGAUCUUUCUUCCAGAGGCAGAUAAGAAGCCACUUGGUUUAGCUUGAAGGGUCAUUGCUCUUUCACACAAACUAGUAAUGCGAAAAGAACUAAAAAGUUGUGAUUAUAAUUGGGAAAAAAUAAGAGUGAUAAGUCACAAAAUAUUGUCAUUAUUCUUUCUUUCACUACACCAAAAUUAUUUUUUUUGACAAUUAAAUUAUU